rnacentral:rRNA from 1 species
AUAUACGACCGUACCGCAAACCGACACUGGUGCGCGAGAUGAGUAUUCUAAGGCGCUUGAGAGAACUCAGGAGAAGGAACUCGGCAAAUUGACACCGUAACUUCGGAAGAAGGUGUGCCCUAUUAGUGUGUAGUGAACAACGAAGCAUGAAUGGGUUGCAAAAAAUCGGUGGCUGCGACUGUUUAUUAAAAACACAGCACUCUGCAAACACGAAAGUGGACGUAUAGGGUGUGACGCCUGCCCGGUGCUGGAAGAUUAAAUGAUGGGGUGCAAGCUCUUGAUUGAAGUCCCAGUAAACGGCGGCCGUAACCAUAACGGUCCUAAGGUAGCGAAAUUCCUUGUCGGGUAAGUUCCGACCUGCACGAAUGGCGUAACGAUGGCCACACUGUCUCCUCCUGAGACUCAGCGAAGUUGAAAUGUUUGUGAUGAUGCAAUCUCCCCGCGGAAAGACGGAAAGACCCCAUGAACCUUUACUGUAGCUUUGUAUUGGACUUUGAACAGAUCUGUUAGGAUAGGUGGGAGGCUUUGAAGCAGGGUCGCUAGAUCUUGUGGAGCCAACGUUGAAAUACCACCCUGGUGUGUUUGAGGUUCUAACCUAGGUCCAUUAUCUGGAUCGGGGACAGUGCAUGGUAGGCAGUUUGACUGGGGCGGUCUCCUCCCAAAGCGUAACGGAGGAGUUCGAAGGUACGCUAGUUACGGUCGGACAUCGUGACGAUAGUGCAAUGGCAUAAGCGUGCUUAACUGCGAGACUGACAAGUCGAGCAGAUGCGAAAGCAGGACAUAGUGAUCCGGUGGUUCUGUAUGGAAGGGCCAUCGCUCAACGGAUAAAAGGUACUCUGGGGAUAACAGGCUGAUACCGCCCAAGAGUUCAUAUCGACGGCGGUGUUUGGCACCUCGAUGUCGGCUCAUCUCAUCCUGGGGCUGUAGCCGGUCCCAAGGGUAUGGCUGUUCGCCAUUUAAAGAGGCACGUGAGCUGGGUUUAAAACGUCGUGAGACAGUUUGGUCCCUAUCUUCCGUGGGCGCUGCAGAUUUGAGGAAGCCUGCUCCUAGUACGAGAGGACCGGAGUGGACACACCUCUGGUGUAUCGGUUGUCACGCCAGUGGCAUUGCCGAGUAGCUAAGUGUGGAAGAGAUAACCGCUGAAAGCAUCUAAGCGGGAAACUCGUUUCAAGAUGAGAUCUGCCGGGGCCUUGAGCCCCCUAAAGAGUC